UUAUACUCAUUAAUAAUAAUAAUAUUGUCCUGAUAAGCACAAUAUAUAAAUUUGCACCAAAAUUAUUGGGAUUUGUCUUCGACUGUUUGUCUAAAACACCAUCAACUGCUUUCUACGCUUCGAAACGAGAAAUCAAUUUAUUAAAAAUCUUAAAAUGUCAAAGUUCUUUGCGUUGAUUGUUUUGAUUGCUAUUCUGGCAAAUAUAUUGAUUUUUUUAUCUGUCAUGGGUUGUGUAGAAAGAGGCAAAUAUGAACGUAUUAUUCAAUGUCACUGAUGUAGUUGCUAUUAUUUUUCUGUAUUAUUUGUAUCGAUUAUUCACUUUUAUAGAAAUACUUAAUUAAUUAUUAAUUAGAAACUAUAAUUUAUCAAUUUGUAUGUUUUAUUUAGUGCCUGAAAGAUCCUUGCUGCGACGGUAUGACUUGCAUUUUUGGUGAAUUCUCUACAUGCAGCUAAAAAUAAUUUCUUAUCACAUAUUGACGUUACUAAUAUAAUUAGUCACUCCAUAUUUUACUAAUUAUCCGCCUGUAACAACAACAAUAAUCAAUAAAUCAAUAUGUAAGCAAACUAUA